CCGCCCAUAGCUCAGUCGGUAGAGCACUCGCCUCUUAAGCGAUUGGUCGUUGGUUCGAAUCCAACUGGGCGGACAA
rnacentral:tRNA from 2 species